rnacentral:rRNA from 1 species
GACAGAGGGUGCAAACGUUGUUCGGAAUUACUGGGCGUAAAGCGCGUGUAGGCUGCUCAGAAAGUCGGAUGUGAAAGCCCUGGGCUUAACCUAGGAAGUGCAUUCGAAACUUCUGAGCUUGAGUUCUGGAGAGGAAGGCGGAAUUCUCGGUGUAGAGGUGAAAUUCGUAGAUAUCGAGAGGAACACCGGUGGCGAAGGCGGCAUCCUGGACCAAUACUGACACUGAGGAGCGAAAGCCAGGGGAGCAAACGGG